rnacentral:rRNA from 1 species
UACAGAGGGGGCAAGCGUUGUUCGGAAUUACUGGGCGUAAAGGGCGCGUAGGCGGCCUGUUAAGUCGAACGAGAAAUCCCCGGGCUCAACCCGGGAACUGCGUCCGAUACUGGCAGGCUUGAAUCCGGGAGAGGGAUGCGGAAUUCCAGGUGUAGCGGUGAAAUGCGUAGAUAUCUGGAGGAACACCGGUGGCGAAGGCGGCAUCCUGGACCGGCAUUGACGCUGAGGCGCGAAAGCCAGGGGAGCAAACAGG